GCUUUGACCUCGAAUCAGGUGGGACUACCCGCUGAACUUAA
rnacentral:rRNA from 1 species